UACGAAGGGGGCUAGCGUUGUUCGGAAUUACUGGGCGUAAAGCGCGCGCAGGCGGUUCUCCAAGUCAGUGGUGAAAGCCCGGAGCUCAACUCCGGAACUGCCAUUGAAACUGUUGAACUCGAGGACGAGAGAGGUGAGUGGAAUUCCCAGUGUAGAGGUGAAAUUCGUAGAUAUUGGGAAGAACACCGGUGGCGAAGGCGGCUCACUGGCUCGUUUCUGACGCUCAGGCGCGACAGCGUGGGGAUCAAACAGG
rnacentral:rRNA from 1 species